GCACCUACAACAGAAGACAAUCCAUAAAUGACCAUGUGAUGGGUGCUCCAUCAAUGAUGAAAGGAAUGAAUGAGUACCUUUUAUGGCAUGGUGGGAGGUGGAGGUGGCGGGAGCACUUGAAGGUGGAGGAGAUUGGUACAUGCCUGCCCCUUGUGACUGAAUCUGGAACAGGUGCACGUUUCUGCCUGCUUCGUGAAGCAAACUGCCAAAGUCGAAUCAAGGCAACCAUUCCCAUAGCGCUGCGUCCUCAUGAGCUGACCAUUAACCAACCUUCCUGUAUCCAUCUGGACACAUAAUUGCAAGUGACGGGAAUUCCAACUAAAACUGAAUUGAUCAAAAUAAGGAAUGUGUUGGUUCAUGUGGUUGGAAGUUGAGAAGCACCCUGGCUUCCGGCAAGACUUGAUCCUGGCCACAGCUCUUGCUGUACUCAUGCUUCUUCCUGUUUUGGGAAUGAUCUCCAACUUUUCUUUGUUUGCCAAAAAAUAAUCAUCCUUCCAGGACCAAAUCAAAAGUCAACUCUUCGAAGCCUUCCUGUCUGUCUUGUCACAGGCCAGUCACACUGCAGGGCCCUCAUCUCUUUUCUUGAGAGAGUCCAAAGACUGUGGGACUGGGCCUGCUGGUCUGCUGGUGUUCUCCCAUCUCUGCCUCUGAGCACCCUGCUGGAAAGGCUACCCUGAGAUGUUGGUGGACUGGAUCUCUGAUCUAGAAAAAACUGCUCAGAGGCAAAAGCUACAAGAGGCACGUUCUGGCAUGAAUGAUACUGGCUCUUCCGGCCCCCAGAUUGCAGAUCCACAGAGAAGACUAUGGGUAAAAGAUGACCCCAGGUAUAGAACUUCAUCUUAGGAAGAGAUCACCCAACCAGAGACUUCUUACACAUCAUUUAGUUGAUUUUAGUUAACGAGAGCAUGGAAGAUGUUGGAAUAAUUGCUAACAAUCCUGGCCAGGGAAAUUAGGAAGCCCAUCCUCUAAUUAAAAUUUAAUGUAGAGGAACUGACCAUCAUGAAUGAAUGGACUCAAUUCCUUGAGAAGAAGACAGAUAAUUUCAAACUAUUUCCUAGAACAAGUAAAGGCACACAGUUGUACAGAGUGAGGAGGUUUCCCUAGGCAAGAUUGGUGGCAGCCUCAAGAUGUAUGGGGCCGGAGGCUGCUAUAUUCUCACUGGGUGAGAGAAAUGGAUAGGGAAUGAUAAUGAUGAAUGAGUUUUCUUUCAAAGUACUCACUAAGGGAGGCUCUCCAUUUUCUUUUUCCUCACUAAAGUGCCUCAAAAUGCUUAAAGAAUUCCACUUUGGAAUUACUUCCGAACUAGUUUAUAUUUUCUAUCCCGUGACUCUACAAUUGCACCUCAUUUUUAACCAAAAAAUCAUUUCCUGCUUCAUCAACCACCUUAUUCAUCAGAUGUGGCCCUGGAUGAUUUUUGGUUCUUUCCAAAAAUGAAAUUCAACCUCAAAGCUUAAAGAUUUAUGCUAUCACAGCUCCUGAAGAAAUGUGCCAUCAACUCUGAAGAUGAAGAGGAGUUCCAGAUAUAUUUUGGUAUUGAAAAAAAUUUACGUCUCAUUAUUUUGCCAUCUCAUACAUUUUCAUAUCUUCUUGUCUUAUAUUGCUUUGAAGAUGAAACUCAGAUCUGUAUAAAGUAUUUCAAGCAUAUUAA